AUGCCUCUGCUGUACGCCUCGGCCACAGGACACAGAGCACUAAGAAGACAGAGAACCACUAAGAAAGACAACAAGGGCUGUUAAGGAAAUCAUGACAUUGCAUAGUUUGUGAAGCCCAUCCUGACCACAAAGGUGUUGAACUGUGAAGAAGAUCUGCAUCUCAGAACUGAUGAAUGACUUGAUUGCAUGAAUUCAUGAUUGAUUAAUGCAUUGGUGUGUUACCUUCAUUCUAAUCUGAUAAUUUAUUCUUUUUAUUUUUGAUCUUUAUUUUAAAAACUCUAUAGCGAUAGGAUAAGUUAAAAAAGUUUUACUGUGAAACGCUUUUUGUAUCAUGGGAAUAUUGAGUCUUCACAUUUGUCAGUCUGAAUCAAGAACUUGAUGCUAAUUUUUGUCGUAAAAGUUCAUAGGCAUUCCUUAGCUCUUGAUUAAAAAUAUCUAAACAAAUGAAA
rnacentral:lncRNA from 1 species